rnacentral:tRNA from 1 species
GCGCCCGUAGCUCAGUUGGAUAGAGCGCUGCCCUCCGAAGGCAGAGGCCAGAGGUUCGACUCCUCUCGGGCGCA